rnacentral:rRNA from 1 species
AUUGAACGCUGGCGGCAUGCUUUACACAUGCCAGUCGAACGGUAACAGGCCUUCGGGUGCUGACGAGUGGCGAACGGGUGAGUAAUGCAUCGGAACGUACCCAGAGGUGGGGGAUAACGCAGCGAAAGCUGUGCUAAUACCGCAUGUGAUCUGAGGAUGAAAGCGGGGGACCGAGCAGCAAUGUUUGGCCUCGCGCCUUUGGAGCGGCCGAUGUCGGAUUAGCUAGUUGGUGGGGUAAAGGCCUACCAAGGCGACGAUCCGUAGCUGGUCUGAGAGGACGACCAGCCACACUGGGACUGAGACACGGCCCAGACUCCUACGGGAGGCAGCAGUGGGGAAUUUUGGACAAUGGGCGCAAGCCUGAUCCAGCAAUGCCGCGUGCGGGAAGAAGGCCUUCGGGUUGUAAACCGCUUUUGGCAGGAACGAAACGGUGUCCGCUAAUACCGGGCGCUAAUGACGGUACCUGCAGAAUAAGCACCGGCGAACUACGU